GUAGAUGCUCAUCCUAUUUAUUAUGACAGCCAAUGCUUCAUAAAGCCGGGGAUGAUGCAGAGUCGAUUAUCGGUGCCUAUUGUCCAAUAUAGAUGAGUAAGAUUAGCCAUCUUUUCAUCAGCCAGUGGACGUAACGUUGAGUGAGGCACCACCCGUCUGUAGACCUGAUUGUAUUUUUAUACACCUGCCUGUUGGUAGGUGUUUUUUU
rnacentral:sRNA from 2 species